CGAGGGGCGGCGUGGCCGGGGUCUGGGCCUAGGGUGGUCCUGGUGGUUGGGGGCGGAGGGGGUCAUAGAUGGGGCUGGGGGUCAUAUUUCGGGCUGGAGGUCAGGAUACGCGGGCUGGGGUAGUCAUUCUGGGGUUGGAGGGUACAGGGGUUGGGGAGGAGGGGUCAUAUAGGGGUAUGGGGCUGGGGUACGGGGUGUGGGGGGAGGUAGAGGGCGGAGGGGCCCUAUUGGGGUCUGGGGUCAAGGUAUGGGGAGGUUGGAGAGUCAUAUUUUGGGUUGGAGAUGAGGAUACAGGGGUUUGAGGUGGUUAUAAGGGUGCGAGAGUUAAGGGGGGGAGGUAGGGGCUGGAGUAGGACGAGGAGAAUCAUAUUGGGGUCUGGGAGUCAGGGUAGGGGAGGUUCAGAGGGUUAUACUGGGGGCUAGGGGUCAGGGAAUGGGGGCCUGGUGGUAAUACUGGAGUAUGGGGGUGAGGAUGCAGGGACCGGGGGGAAUCAUAUUGGUGUUGAGGGACAGGGCAUGAAGCAGGGAUGUGAAGGCUCGAGCAGGGCUGCAGUGUCAUUUUGCAGGCUGGGGAUAAGGGUACAUGAGGCUGGAAGGGGGCACUGAGGGGCAGCAAGGUGCCAUGGGUAGGGAGGCUGGGGGAGAUUAAGGACCAGGAGGGAAGGGUAUGGGGGGCAGGUAGACAGGAAAUAUUCCUUGAGCUUCAUGUGUCCGGGGAUCUGUGCUGGGAGUUGCUUCCAGAGGAAACACAGCUCUGACUCAUGGCCGAAGGUCACUGGGUCUUCUUGGGAAGCCAGCAUUCAUCAGGUGUUCCUGCUGACCACGGAGUGGCUGCUGGAGCUGCACCCUCGCCAAGGUGGCUGAACCGAAGAUCUGUCUGCGUUACGGUGAGAGUGCUGCCCCCGCAGUUCAGUUUGUUAAUACCUGUGUGGUCUCUUUAGGCUAUAGAAGGUAUUUUUGCUGAAGUAGAUGGUAAAUGUGAAUAAAUUCCAAUUCUCCAA